GAGGGUAUAGCUCAAGUGGUAGAGCACAUGCUUAGCAUGCACAAGGUCCUGGGUUCAAUCCCCAGGACCUCCU
rnacentral:tRNA from 1 species